rnacentral:rRNA from 1 species
UGGGGAAUAUUGGACAAUGGGGGCAACCCUGAUCCAGCAAUGCCGCGUGUGUGAAGAAGGUUUUCGGAUUGUAAAGCACUUUCGGCGGGGACGAUGAUGACGGUACCCGCAGAAGAAGCCCCGGCUAACUUCGUGCCAGCAGCCGCGGUAAUACGAAGGGGGCUAGCGUUGCUCGGAAUGACUGGGCGUAAAGGGCGUGUAGGCGGUUUGUACAGUCAGAUGUGAAAUCCCCGGGCUUAACCUGGGAGCUGCAUUUGAGACGUGCAGACUAGAGUGUGAGAGAGGGUUGUGGAAUUCCCAGUGUAGAGGUGAAAUUCGUAGAUAUUGGGAAGAACACCGGUGGCGAAGGCGGCAACCUGGCUCAUUACUGACGCUGAGGCGCGAAAGCGUGGGGAGCAAACAGGAUUAGAUACCCUGGUAGUCCACGCUGUAAACGAUGUGUGCUGGAUGUUGGGUAACUUAGUUAUUCAGUGUCGUAGCUAACGCGAUAAGCACACCGCCCGGGGAGUACGGCCGCAAGGUUG